GCCAGCGUGUCCGAGCGGUUAAGGAGUGGAGCUUAAGAUUCCAUAUCGAAAGAUUCGUGGGUUCGAACCCCACCGCUGGCA
rnacentral:tRNA from 1 species